GCCUGGUCCGAAUGCCCGGGAAUUUUUAAUUAAUCCAUCACAGUCCGUUACAGAUUUCUUUGUUCUUUCUCCACUCGUAAUGCUUCACUUGACUAGUCAUUC
rnacentral:Y_RNA from 1 species